rnacentral:SRP_RNA from 1 species
UAUGCACCGUGGUGUGGCAAGAUCUAUAGCAAAUCGCCAGGUCCGGAAGGAAGCAACGAACUCUAGACCACUUGGGUAUGCUAUGGUGCACUUUA